CCUACGGGAGGCAGCAGUCGGGAAUUUUGCGCAAUGGGCGAAAGCCUGACGCAGCAACGCCGCGUGAUUGAUUAAGCCCUUCGGGGUGUAAAGCUCUGUCAGUGGGGACGAAACUUGACGGUACCCACAGAGGAAGCACCGGCUAACUCCGUGCCAGCAGCCGCGGUAAUACGGAGGUUGCAAGCGUUGUCCGGAAUCAUUGGGCGUAAAGAGUUCGUAGGUGGCAUAGUAAGUCUGGUGUUAAAUGAAGGAGCUCAACUUCUGUUCGGCACUGGAUACUGGUAAGCUUGAGUGCGGUAGAGGGAAAGGGAAUUCCUGGUGUAGCGGUGAAAUGCGUAGAUAUCGGGAGGAACAUCGGUGGCGUAAGCGCGUUACUGGGCCUUAAUUGACACUGAGGAACGAAAGCCGGGGGAGCGAAUGGGAUUAGAUACCCCGGUAGUC
rnacentral:rRNA from 1 species